rnacentral:rRNA from 1 species
UUAACAUAUAUCGUUAUAAAAUAAAUAAUUUUAGAAAUUUAAUUUUUUUAGUAUUUUAAAUGAACAAGGUAAAAACGAUAGAGAAAAAGUACUGUGAAGGAAAUAAUGAAAAUUUGAAAAUAAAUUAUAAAUAAAGUAUUGUUUAAAUCAAGUAACUUUUGUAUCAGCGAUUAUUAAAUUAAGAUUUUAAAAUUAUUUCUCGAAAAUAAAAGAUCUAUAAACUUCAUUAGUUUUUUGUUGCAGUAAAAUCUAAAAGAGAUUUAUAGGUGUGAAACGUUAAUCGAUUUUAUUAAUAUCUAGUAACUUUUUGAAAUAAAUUUAGUUUAAAAUAAUGUGAUUAUUCUUUAGUUCAAGGUCUAAUUUUAUUUAUUUUUAGUUUUUAGGGGAUGAGCUUUAAAAAUUAUUUAUAAAGUUCUUAAAUACUAUUUUUUGUAUAGGCUUAGAAUUAGCCAUAAAAAAGUGUUAUAAAUUAGAAAUUCAAGAUUAUGAUUUAUGAUCUUUUAAAUAUGUAAAAAGUUAAAAUUUUAAUAAAAUAUUUUUUGAAAAUAUGAUAAUAUCAGUAGAUAAUUUAAAAAAAUUUAGGAUUUAUUUUAAGAUUUCCUAAAUUAUCUAUAAAAAUAAAUAUUAUAAAAGAACUCGGCAAAAAAGAUUUUCGAAUGUUUAACAAAAACAUUUCCUCUUAGAAUAGGAGGUAAAGUCUGCUCACUGAGUAUUUAAAGAGCCGCAGUAUUUUGACUGUGCUAAGGUAGCAUAAUCAUUAGUCUUUUAAUUGGAGACUGGUAUGAAUGGCUUAACGAAAAAUCAACUUUUUUUAUAAUAAAAAUUGAAUUUAUUUUUUUAGUGAAAAAACUAAAAUGUUCCUGAAAGACGAGAAGACCCUAUAGAGUUUUAUAUAAAUAAUAAUCAAUUUGUACUAGUUUUUCUUCGAACUGAUUUGAUUUUAUAUUUUGUUGGGGCGACAUUAAGAUAAAAAAAACUCUUUUUUUUACAAAUUUUUAUAAAAAUAUAAAAUUGAUCCUUUAAAAAAGAUAAUAAGAAAAAAUUACCUUAGGGAUAACAGCGUAAUCUUUUUUGAGAGUUCUAAUCGACAAAAAGGUUUGCGACCUCGAUGUUGGACUAAAAUUUAGGUGUGGUGCAGCAGCUUCACUUUAGGGUCUGUUCGACCCGUAUUAUUUUACAUGAUCUGAGUUCAGACCGGCGUGAGCCAGGUUGGUUUCUAUCUUCUGGACCUUUGAGGCCAGUUUAGUACGAAAGGAUUGACUGGUUAUAAAUUUUAUAAAAAGAUGAGUGUGAUUAAAAUUUUUUAA